UACGUAGGGUGCGAGCGUUACUCGGAAUUACUGGGCGUAAAGCGUGCGCAGGCGGUUUUGUAAGUCUGACGUGAAAUCCCCGGGCUCAACCUGGGAAUUGCGUUGGAGACUGCAAGGCUAGAAUCUGGCAGAGGGGGGUAGAAUUCCACGUGUAGCAGUGAAAUGCGUAGAGAUGUGGAGGAACACCGAUGGCGAAGGCAGCCCCCUGGGUCAAGAUUGACGCUCAUGCACGAAAGCGUGGGGAGCAAACAGG
rnacentral:rRNA from 1 species